rnacentral:rRNA from 1 species
UACGAGGGGAGCAAGCGUUGUUCGGAUUUACUGGGCGUAAAGGGCGCGUAGGCGGUCGUGACAAGUCACUUGUGAAAUCUCCGGGCUUAACUCGGAACGGUCAAGUGAUACUGUCGGACUAGAGUACAGAAGGGGCAACUGGAAUUCUCGGUGUAGCGGUGAAAUGCGUAGAUAUCGAGAGGAACAUCUGCGGCGAAGGCGGGUUGCUGGGCUGAUACUGACGCUGAUGCGCGAAAGCCAGGGGAGCGAAGCGGG